rnacentral:rRNA from 1 species
AUAAAAGCUACUAAGAGUUUACGGAGGAUGCCUUGGCAUCAGAAAGCGAUGAAGGACGUGGCAAGCUGCGAUAAGCUUCGGGGAGUGGCACACACACUGCGAUCCGGAGAUUUCCGAAUGGGGAAACCCGCCGGUUGAGCCGGCAGUUCAAGGUGAAUACAUAGACCUUGUAAUGGCAAACGAAGGGAAGUGAAACAUCUCAGUACCUUCAGGAACAGAAAUCAAAUAGAGAUUCCCUGAGUAGUGGCGAGCGAAAAGGGAAGAGCCUAAACCUUUUGUAUGUUAAAGGGUCCGGCCCUUGUACAGAAGGUGUCAUGGGACUUUAAAGAAGCGACCGGACUCGCUUCACGAAGUUACAAAGUCAAAAUUUAGCAGAAGAGUCUGAAAAGUCUCUCCAAAGAAGGUGAUAGACCUGUAAGCGAAAAGUUUUGACCUUCGAUAAAGUUUCCCAAGUACCACCGGGCACGUGGAAUCCGCUGGGAAUUUAGGGGGACCACCCUCUAAGGCUAAAUAUGUUCUGAUGACCGAUAGUGAACCAGUACCGUGAGGGAAAGGUGAAAAGAACCCCGGAAGGGGAGUGAAAUAGAACCUGAAACCGUGAACUUACAAACAGUGGGAGCGCUAUUGCAUGACAAGCGUGACCACGUACCUUUUGCAUAAUGAGCCAGUGAGUUAUGGUCACGAGCAAGGUUAAGCUGUGAAGCGAAGCCGUAGCGAAAGCGAGUCUUAAAUGGGCGUUUUUUUAGUUCGUGGCUAUAGACCCGAAACCCGGUGAGCUAUUUAUGGCCAGGGUGAAGUGCAGUUAACCCUGCAUGGAGGCCCGAACCAUUGGAAGAUGCAAUUUCCUUGGAUGAGCUGUGAAUAGGAGUGAAAGGCUAAUCAAACUGGGUGAUAGCUGGUUCUCCCCGAAAUAUAUUUAGGUAUAGCCUCGAAUAUCUAUCCUGGAGGUAGAGCACUGAAUGGGCUAGGGGUCCUUACCGGAUUACCAAACCCAAACAAACUCCGAAUGCCGGUGAUAGUGAGUUCGGGAGACAGUCAUGGGGUGAUAAGGUCCUGUGACGAGAGGGAAAGAGCCCGGACCCUCGGCUAAGGUCCCUAAAUCCAUUGCUUAGUGUUAAACGUUGUGGAAUUACUCAGACAGCCAGGAGGUUGGCUUAGAAGCAGCAAUCCUUUAAAGAAAGCGUAAUAGCUCACUGGUUCAGUGAUUUUGCGCGGAAGAUUUAACGGGGCUUAAGCAUGGUACCGAAGCCAGGGACUGUUGUUCGCAACAGUGGUAGGGGAGCGUUGUCGUUAAGGAUGAAGCUUGACCGCGAGGACAGGUGGACAGACGACAAGUGAUUCUGCUGGCAUAAGUAGCGUAUUAACAGAGGUGAGAAACCUCUGCGCCGAAAACUCAAGG